rnacentral:rRNA from 1 species
AUUGAACGCUGGCGGCAUGCCUUACACAUGCAAGUCGAACGGUAACGGGCCUUCGGGUGCCGACGAGUGGCGAACGGGUGAGUAAUACAUCGGAACGUGCCCGAUCGUGGGGGAUAACGAGGCGAAAGCUUUGCUAAUACCGCAUACGAUCUACGGAUGAAAGCAGGGGACCGCAAGGCCUUGCGCGGACGGAGCGGCCGAUGGCAGAUUAGGUAGUUGGUGGGAUAAAAGCUUACCAAGCCGACGAUCUGUAGCUGGUCUGAGAGGAUGAUCAGCCACACUGGGACUGAGACACGGCCCAGACUCCUACGGGAGGCAGCAGUGGGGAAUUUUGGACAAUGGGCGCAAGCCUGAUCCAGCCAUGCCGCGUGCAGGAUGAAGGCCUUCGGGUUGUAAACUGCUUUUGUACGGAACGAAAAGCCUUCUUUUAAUACAGGAGGGUCAUGACGGUACCGGAAGAAUAAGCACCGGCUAACUACGCG